UCCUGGCUCAGGGUGAACGCUGGCGGCGUGCCUAAGACAUGCAAGUCGAGCGGGGUAGGUUUAUGCCUGCCCAGCGGCGGACGGGUGAGUAGCGCGUGGGUGACCUACCCGGAAGAGGCGGACAACCUGGGGAAACCCAGCCUAAUCCGCCAUGUGGUCCUGUCCUGUGGGGUAGGACUAAAGGGUGGAUAGCCCGCUUCCGGAUGGGCCCGCGUCCCAUCAGCUAGUUGGUGGGGUAAAGGCCCACCAAGGCGACGACGGGUAGCCGGUCUGAGAGGAUGGCCGGCCACAGGGGCACUGAGACACGGGCCCCACUCCUACGGGAGGCAGCAGUUAGGAAUCUUCCGCAAUGGACGGAAGUCUGACGGAGCGACGCCGCUUGGAGGAGGAAGCCCUUCGGGGUGUAAACUCCUGAACUGGGGACGAAAGCCCCGUGUAGGGGGAUGACGGUACCCAGGUAAUAGCGCCGGCCAACUCCGUGCCAGCAGCCGCGGUAAUACGGAGGGCGCGAGCGUUACCCGGAUUUACUGGGCGUAAAGGGCGUGUAGGCGGCUUGGGGCGUCCCAUGUGAAAGGCCACGGCUCAACCGUGGAGGAGCGUGGGAUACGCUCAGGCUAGAGGGUGGGAGAGGGUGGUGGCACUCCCGGAGUAGCGGUGAAAUGCGCAUAUACCGGGAGGAACGCCGAUGGCGAAGGCAGCCCCUGGUCCACUUCUGACGCUGAGGCGCGAAAUCGUGAGGAGCAAACCCGAUUAUAUACCCCGGUAGUCCACGACACUAAACGAUGCGCGCUACGUCUUUGGGUUUAUCUGGCCGGCCGAAGACAACGUGUUAGCGCGCCGCUGGUGAGUACGGCUGCCCGCUGAACACAAAGAGUGACCGAGGCCCGCCCCAGCGGAGAGGAGGCGUUUCAUUCGAAGCGACCCGACGACCUUACCAGCCUUGCCUGCUAGCACGUAGCGAGGCCUGUGCUGCCUCCACGAUGCGUAACCAGAGCUGAUGCGUCGCUACUCUGCUUG
rnacentral:rRNA from 1 species